rnacentral:tRNA from 1 species
GCUCGUGUCGUAUAGAGGUAGUAUAUCGCGUUGUGGCCGCGCUGACCCAGGUUCAAUUCCUGGCACGAGCA